rnacentral:sRNA from 1 species
CAAACAGGAUGGGAACUGAUUAUGAGGAAUGAGUUUCAUUAAUUUAUUUACUCAGAUGCUGAAACAGACAUCUGGCAUAUUCCUAUAAUCAGUAUCAUGGCCUUUGUAUACAACAAAAUUGAUUGGAACUCCUAGACUAGAAAUAUAAUUCAAGAUUUAAAUAAGGCACUGGUCAUAGUUUUAGAAAAAGUGGCUAGCAUUCUGCAUACUAGCCAAGAUUGAUACCUCUCCACAAAUCAACAAAGACAUUAAUGAAGC